rnacentral:rRNA from 1 species
AUAGGUAUGCAAAGCGAACGCGGCGAACUGAAACAUCUAAGUAGCUGCAGGAAAAGAAAUCAACCGAGAUUCCCAAAGUAGUGGCGAGCGAAAUGGGAAGAGCCUGCACGUUUUAGCAUGACGCAUAACAGAAUCCUCUGGAAAUAGGAGCCAUAGCGGGUGAUAGCCCCGUAUGUGAAAUGCGAUGUGUGGAACUAAGCGUGCGACAAGUAGGGCGGGACACGAGAAAUCCUGUCUGAAUAUGGG